AAACUAAGAAUGUCAGUCAAUGACUUUGAGAUCGAGAUUGGUAGAUAAGAAAUUAAUAUUUAAUAAUCGUGAUAUAGAAAACUAGUAUCACUCUGUAAAUAUGUGUCAAUUUUAUGCAGAUAUUCGCUCAAAAAGUAUGAGGUUUGAAUAACCCAAGAAUCAGACAUCCUUGGGAAAUCAUAACCCUCCCAUCUAAGACGAGAAAGGAUAGGAUGAGGAGGGAUAUGUUUUGUGGUAUAUAGAGGUAAGGCCGUAGAGGCUGGAGUCGUGACAGAAAAACAAUAUGGAGGAUGGACGUCUCCAAACACAGCCUAGACGAAGGGACAGCUAUCUCGACCGAUCGGAAGUUAACAGCUGUGUCAAGUAUAUUCUCUUCUUCACAAACCUGAUUCUCUUUUUAGCCGCUGCUGGAGCCCUCGGCCUCGGGAUAUGGAUACAGGUAUUGAAGGGCAAGGUCGUGUUACAUAUAGUCGACUUCCUGUUUGACCCGUCCAUCAUGGUCAUGUGUGUGGGCGGUUCCAUCACAUUCCUCGUCGCCUUCUUCGGCUGUUUCGGUUCGCUCAGAGAAAACAUCAUCCUCCUCACUAUAUACCAUACCCUUGUGGGUUUACUAUUGUUUGCGGAAGUUGCUCUCGUGGUCUUCGUCUUUGUAUUCUAUUUCUCACCGGAAACACUCGACACCCUCAAUAUUGUACCGGAAGAUACAUUGCGGGAUGCCAUCGUCAAAUACAGAGAUGAUCCCGACAUGCAAGAUCUCAUCGAUGGAAUUCAAGAAAUGAUGGACUGUUGUGGUGUCAGUAAUACAGACUCCGGGUACAAGGACUGGAAUGAGAACAUCUACUUCAACUGUUCCGACGUAAACCCCAGCCACGAGAGAUGUUCCGUGCCAUUCUCGUGCUGUAUCCUUAACCCGGGAGACAAAAUCAACAUUCUAUGUGGCAAUGGUGCUUUAGAGAGACCGAUGGCGGAGGUCGAAACGGUGAUCCAUCCCGAAGGAUGUCUCUACAGACUCGGCGUAUGGAUACAGCGUAACACUCUGAUCAUAGGGGGCAGCACACUAGGAAUAUUCAUACCUCAGGUCAUUGCUAUUUGUUUUGCGAAACAGCUGAAGGACCAAAUUAAAGCACAGACCGCAAAAUGGCAGUUUGACCGGACGUGACACUACAUCGCAGUCAAACUUUCAAACAUUCCACAAAAUGGCAGUUUCACAGACUGGAAUUGACACAGCAUCGUAAUAAACAAACGCAUAACGAUUUGAGAGGGAAAGGGAGCUGAAUCUGAUAUUUUGUUAAUCAUGAUGGUGUCUUUGGUUAUUUUUCACGUAAAAGUGAUAAUAUAUUAACAGUAGGUUAUAUAUCGUAAUUGUUAUCGAUUUGUGUGAUUGCAUGGAUGUGGGAAGAAGACCAUGAUAUAUGUUUUUGAGGAAGGUCCCAGUGGACAGGUAUGUUUUUGAGGAAGGUCCUAGUGGACAGGUAUAUGUUUUUGAGGAAGGUCCUAGUGGGCAGGUAUAUGUUUUAAAAGAAGUUCAUAUAGUGAGCAGGUUAUAUGUCUUUGAGGAAGUUCCUAGUGGACAGGUAUGUUUUUGAGGAAGGUCCUAGUGGGCAGGUAUAUGUUUUUAAAGAAGUUCAUAUAGUGAGCAGGUUAUAUGUCUUUGAGGAAGGUCCUAGUGGACAGGUAUGUUUUUGAGGAAGGUCCUAGUGGGCAGGUAUAUGUUUUUAAAGAAGUUCAUAUAGUGAGCAGGUUAUAUGUCUUUGAGGAAGUUCCUAGUGGACAGGUAUAUGUUUUUGAGGAAGGUCCUAGUGGGCAGGUAUAUGUUUUUGAGGAAGUUCCUAGUGGACAGGUAUAUGUUUUUGAGGAAGUUCAUAUAGUGGGCAGGUUAUAUGUUUUUGGGGAAGUUUCUAGUGGGUAGGUUUAUGUUUUGGGGAAGUUCCUAGUGGACAAGUUAUAUGUUUUGAGGAAGUUCCUAGUGGACAAGUUAUAUGUUUUGGGGAAGUUCCUAGUGGACAAGUUAUAUGUUUUGAGAAAGUUCCUAGUGGGUAGGUUAUAUGUUUUUGAGGAAGUUCCUAGUGGACAUGUUCUGCCCCUCAUCUCUUGUGCGUUACGAAUAAGACUGGCAGACAGAAAACGGGUACCAUCAAUGUUUAUUUUAACCAUCAACUGUAGCACCGUAAGAACUGCAAUGAUACAAGCAAAACAGUUCUUACAAAUAUAGUACAUAAUAAUGUGAUAACCCUACAUGUACAUUAAUAUCAUACAAAACUGUUCUAUGAACCUGCAAUUAGAUACAUUGAAUAGUAUCAUUUCUGUAGCAUAUCAUCUUAUUUCAACUUGCUCUUUAUAAUGAUGUACAUAAUGUAAUACAUUAUGUUAUUUAGUAUCUAAUUUACAAAAAACCUAGUGUGUAAUAUGUAACCAAUCAACAUGGACUAUUGUUGUCGAUAUAAGUUCAUACAUCAAGAUCAUCAUGAAAAUAUCCACAUACAAUUAUUAGAAUUAUUUUAAAAUGUGAAAGGUCUCUGCAUCAUUUUUUCCUUAACCGAAUUAUUGGUCAAUACAGUUAAUACUGCCUAAAUACAUGAAAUACUGUCGAAUAACUUGACAAUAACACUAAACUGUAGUUACUUAAUAAUACAGACAUACUUCAAUGAAAUUCAUGAAUAGCAUAUUAGCAUAUGCAUUUAAACAGAAUUUACUGUAUAAACUUACGCUGUAGGGACACCCAGCUGGGCAUUCAUGCUCUCACGACACACGUAACAUAAGACUGGAUAUAUUAAUACUCUCAACGAGAUUCACUGCAAGAACACAAAAACUUACUAUCAGUUACGUACAGAACGAUAAAACCAUAUUCUCUAUAACCUGACAGUGCUAGAUUUGUACCAUACAGAACGAUGGAACCAUAUUCUGCACGAAAUAACAAUACUGGAUUUAUACCAUACAAAUCACAUUGCUAUAUAUUGUACCGGGUGUCUGACACAGAUUUAAGUAUGAUUUCAAUCACGAAAAACUUAUGAACAACAUUUCACAAUAAAAAUGACUAACUAGCACGUUAAAUAAUAUUUAUGGUAUUCUGAUGACACGAUUGACGUUAAUCAAUGUAAUUUUAUAAACACACCUCAUGAACAAUUGACUUGGCGAGAGCUUGGUAAUAAUUAACAUGAAAGUAUAACUCGUCAAUCAUAGGACAUUGAACUUAUCCGAUUAUCUGACACUUUCUAAACAAACAAACUUCAUUUAUCAACUUUUUUCAUCUAAAUCUCGUAUAUACAAUAUCCACGAUAUAUAGGAUUAUCUUUCAAAUACAAUGAUAAUUAUAAAUGUGUGGUAUUUAACACCAGAAACUUACAAAAGACGUAAAAUUCGUGUCGUCUGCUAAAGAACACAACGCUGUAAAAAAAUUACGCAAAAAGUGGUGACGUCACCAAAGGGAGGUAAUGACUUUAGCGCACCACUAAGAUUCAAUAUAAUAAUCAGAACGCCGUUCCGGCACAGGACAGGUAUAUAUUUUUGAGGAAGUUCCUAGUGGGUAGGUUAUAUGUUUUUGGGGUAGUUCCUAGUGGGUAGGUUCAUGUUUUUGAGGAAGUUCCUAGUGGACAGGGUAUUUGUUUUUAGGAAGUAACUAGAGUAAAUCGGUUGUUGUGUACAAUCUGUCUCGCCGUGUUUCGCAAUAAAACCGUAUUUCUUUGUUCAUGUA